rnacentral:rRNA from 1 species
UACGUAGGGGGCUAGCGUUGUCCGGAAUCAUUGGGCGUAAAGCGCGUGUAGGCGGUCCGGUAAGUCCGCUGUGAAAGUCGAGGGCUCAACCCUCGAAUGCCGGUGGAUACUGUCGGGCUUGAGUACGGGAGAGGCGAGUGGAAUUCCUGGUGUAGCGGUGAAAUGCGCAGAUAUCAGGAGGAACACCAAUUGCGAAGGCAGCUCGCUGGGACGUCACUGACGCUGAGACGCGAAAGCGUGGGGAGCAAACAGG